UACGGGGGGAGCAAGCGUUGUUCGGAUUUACUGGGCGUAAAGGGCGCGUAGGCGGUCGUUUAAGUCGAAUGUGAAAGCCCCCGGCUCAACUGGGGAGGGUCAUUCGAUACUGAUCGACUUGAAGGCAGGAGAGGGAAGUGGAAUUCCGGGUGUAGUGGUGAAAUGCGUAGAUAUCCGGAGGAACACCGGUGGCGAAGGCGGGACUCUGGGCCGAUACUGACGCUGAGGAGCGAAAGCGUGGGGAGCGAACAGG
rnacentral:rRNA from 1 species